UCUUGGAAAGGAGGGAGUAGAAACCAGUCACGUUACAGCGGCACCAAAAGCCUCUUUCCCAGUCCGGCUCGUUUGGCUUCCUCGACGUAUACGUCGCCGCCGCCAACCCACGAUGUCGCCGCCGCCGCUCCUACCAUCCCACGAUGUCGACCCUGCCACCGCUGCCGCCAUCCCGUGAUGCCGCCGCCGAUUCCUUCCUGACGCUCAUGGUGGGGCGCGUUAGCACUGCACGGUCCCGCCGUCCCUGGCGCCCGUCGUCGCGCUGUGGUGACUGCACCGCGAGGGCGCCUCCUGCUGGCAACGGUUGUAGGUCCUCUUGCUAAUCCUUUUCUAUCUCAUAUCAAUGACAUCUUGAGCUUAAGAUUUCCAUCAACUCAUCAAUUGAUCUGAAAAAGGGACACAGAUUCACGGUGUAAUCUCAUCUCCCCAAUCCCUUUUCUUUUUUAUUCUAUAAAUAAUAUCUCAUAUUUCGAGUUCUGACAAAUAUGCAGCAUGCCAACAUAAAUCUUUUAGGCCAAUUACUGAAUCAAUCACAGGAUGGCUGAUGCAGCGGCUAAGGAAGCGGCCGUCGUAGUCAGUGAGGUUGCAGAGUGAAGGGACUGCAGUGGACUGUUGGCGCCAAGAUCCCUACUCUAUUCUCCAUCUUUUCAAUUCAUCACAGUAGACAGAAGCAUACAAUUAGCUUUAUCCCUAAUGUUUCGGCAAGAAAAUAAGUGGGAUGUGUACAUGGCAUGUGUAUCCAUAAGGGUCUUGACUCGAUUGUAUAAUGUUGGAAGGUGGAGCAUGCAAGUUGGUGUGGUCUGCAUAACUGCAUUGCUUCUGGUGGCACAACAAAAUCUGCAUGAAUUGAAGGAUGUGUGUUUCUCUCGAGUACAUGCUAAAUCUUGGAUUAUCUCCAUGGCAUAUCCAAUCGUCCUGCCAUUUAAUGGAGGUCAACUGGUAGUCAGAUUUUAGAACUAUUGGACAUCCACAGUAAGCUUCAAGUACGAGCUGUACAUGCAUAUGUUUUCUGGCAAAACUUUAUUCCUUAAAGGUAUAUCCUCCUUAGAUCUCUCAAGUCAGAUAUGCAUGUGAAGGGAAAAAAGUUAAGAGCUAUGCCGUCGGCGUCCUAGCCAAGAAUCUCGGAUCAGGUUUUCCCCAAAGCAACGCACGCAAGGUGCUUCCAUCAGCAACAGGGUUGCCUGGAUGCCCGCUUACCUGCCCAUUUAUAAACCAUGUAAGGUACAUGGUAGCUCCUCCCCAGUCGGAUCUAGAAGUAUAUCACAUAAUCUUGUGACUGGCCCGUUCUGUGCAUUGAUCUUGAAAAAGGGCAGAGGCUCAGAGUACAUGAUGGACUCGAUUUGUUAAUACAGUGUCCCAGCCACCUAUGAUCCCUUUCCUUUCCAAUUUUUAAAUCCUCUCUGUUUCACCCAGCAUGCUGCCUUUUCAGAAUAUAAUCAGUGAAUCAAUUGGUUAGUGGGAACAUAGUUGAUGCAACGGAGCAUAUUUUGUAUGGACCAUACUUUGUCUGAAGCAGAUUGAGUUGGCGUGGUGACCUGCAAGGCUGUAGAGUGGAGAAACUACACUCUGCCCCAAACAUAUAGGCAAGUGUCCCCUUAUUCAUAAAUUUCCUUCUGCAUUUUACACUUCAUUGAACUCAUUAAAUAGCCCCACAAAUUGGCUUAUAUCUAACAUGGAGAAAAAUAACAUUCAGUUUUUUUAGAUCUAUCAGCAAUAAUACUAUUGAUUGGUGUAUGAGACAAAGAACAGCAUAGAGAUUUGAUCUGCUUCUCCUCAAGCGGCACGACACAAUCCUUGCACUAGGUCUAUGGUCUUUGCAACAUAAAGUAAAUACUGGACAACAAGUUCACUUUGAUGCUUACAUGGGGCUUUAUGAAGAUUCGCAUGUCGCGCUCAUAUUUAGAUGAAGUUUAAAGAUAUUUACUAGUUUACUUGACCUAAUAUUUCCUAACAGUAGUGUUAGCUAAUGAAAUUAGUUGAUGUUUCUCAUAGUUUUAAAUAGUGCGCUGUCUUGGCGCUAGAUUGCUACCGGUUAAAUAAAGUUACCUAAAUCAGUUUUCACCAAAUUAUUGUAUUAGGCAUUCCGCCAUGCACAAAUUAGUAUUCAGAAAUUUAUGUACCAACCUAAUUAUAUAUCCCCAUAUCAAAUAAGAUUUAGAAUCUUCAUCUUCAAUGUCAUAUGAUUUUAGGUACUAGCAACAUGCAGUAUGACAUAACUAUAUAUCACACUAAAUUGCUUAUGCUCUUGCAGCCUUGCAUAUACAACUCAAGUCCCCACUUCUGUAUGUAUUGCUGAUAUACCUUUUUUCCCCUUUCUAAUCCAUGUACAGAUCUGUUGUGUGUGUGGACAGAGGAGUAGUCAUAUCUGUGAUUAGAGAAGCAUUGAUGGGGUUGAGUUGGUGGACGUUUUUCUCUCAAAAAAUACAGACUACAUGUUUGUGCAUUGAUCUCCCAUUGUAAUCUUGAUUUGCAUAGCUAGAGUAUUUCAGUUUGGUAUGUGUCUCCUUAGUAAGUGGAGUAAUAUGAUCUAAAAGACAGAAGAUGGUCACACAACUGGAGAUGAAUACUGACUGGAUUUGUAAGCCUCCACAAUGUUAAAGGGAUUUGGCAGGCCAGGUGGCUACCGUGGGUCCUUAUUUUCCUCUCGUCCCUGGCGGCUGGAACCCUAGCCGCCGCCCAGGGAGGCCGAUCUUCCAACGCCGCUCUCCGGCGGCUCCCCUCCGCCGGCGACCUCGGUCGUCGGUGGUGAGGGGGGCCGCCGGAUCCACGCGUGUGGAUCAUUUUUACUCUCGUAGUCUAGGUUUUUAGGUUGUUAAUCGUCUUUGCUUCGGCGGUGACGAUGACAACGUUGAAUAAAGAUUCUUCGGAUCCUUCCCUGAUGAGGCCAUCGGUCCUAUGGUUGGGGAUGGAUUUGGAAACCAGUUGUUCAAGCAAGGAUGGUGUGGCGGCGGCGACAUCCUCGUGGUGGACCUGUGUCCUCGGGCUCCGCCGUUGUGACGGCGUUUGCUCCAGCGUCGGCGCGGAGCUUGGGAGGUAGUCCAGGAGCGGAUGCAGAUUGUGGUCUGCAUCGACAACAUCUGAAAGACGGAGCAUGUGCUGGGCUCGUGGUUCGUGGAUAGCAUAUAUGGUUUCCUCCUUUGGUGUUUUAGUUGUGGUGGGGUGCUAGAUCUGGAGUUCGAUGGCGUGUCGGGGGUGUUGCCCCGGUCUGAUUCGUUCAACGGUAAGGGCUUCACUUUUGGUGAGCCACCUUGGAGGUCCGCAAAGCUGCAUAUCAGUGAUGGAGCCGCGUCGAGCUCGGGUGAGAAGGUGAUUCGUCAUUCUUUUCUUCGGUGGCUACUGUGGUGGUGCCGGAGGUAGGUGACGGGCGUUGGUGUCAAGCUCAGAGAUGUUCUGCUAUCUUUUCAGUUUUGUCAUGUCGGUCUUUACGUGACUUGUACUUUGUUCUUUAUGAUAUGAAUGAGACACGUAUUACCAUGAAAAAAAAGACUCCACAAUGUUUUUUUGACACUUUUGUACAUAUAAUCAAACAAAAAAAACAUUGUCGCUACUCCUGUUUAAGUGUGGGUAGGGAUGAUGCUCUGUAUAUUUGCAGUCUCCAUUGGUGUCGACCAAUAAUAUACCUAUUAUAAGAAAUAUACGACCCUGUCUUAUUUGCUGUCAGGUCAACACUUGAAUAAAUCAUACUUUCAUUUAAUUUUAUAUUAGCCAACAUCUGCUUUAAUUUUAUUGAAGAACUUAUUUUUAUAUUACAUAUACGGUUUAGCUUGCUAUCUUCACCAUGUGACGUGACCCAAAAUUAUUCUUAAAAAGGCUAUUAUCAGGUUAUACGCAGUUACUAUGAGCCUAUGAGGUGAUAUUUAAUUAGCACAUAAAUGAAUACUCAUGAUUGUUCUAACGUAUUGCAUCUUAAAAGGUCUACCUGGAUACGCUUUUAAAUAAUGACUUGCAUUAUUUUCAAAAAAAUUCCCCACUUACCAGAUGAUCCUUGGCCGUGAGAAAUAGUUGCAUCCGUUGUUCAGGCUAAUUUUGGCUACUUACUAUUGGACGAGAAAAUAUGUGAACAUAAAUUAGGCUAAUUUUGGCUACUUACUAUUGGACGAGAGAAAUAUGUGAACAUAAAUUAGUUGCUUCUUUCUGGACCUGCUUUAAAAUUAAAUUAUUAACUGAUGAUUAGUUGUCAUGGAGAUGAUUUCAAAAUAUUCUCUAAUUGAAUUAUGGCAACCAAGCUGGAGCAAGUUUUCCAAAUACAUAUUUAUCUAUGAAAACUUGCAUAUUUUUACCUUGCAAGAUCACUAGCUAUUGGAGGGGGCUGAGAUCCCCACUUCUGUAUGUAUUGCCGAUAUACCUUUUUUUCCCUUUCUAAUCCACGUACAGAUCUAUUGUGUGUGUGUGUGUGGACAGAGGAGUAGUCAUAUCUGUGAUUAGAGAAGCAUUGAUGGGGUUGAGUUGGUGGAUGUUUUUCUCUCAAAAAAUGCAGCCUAUGUGUUUGUGCAUUGAUCUCCCAUUGUAAUCUUGAUUUGCAUAGCUAGAGUAUUUCAGUUUGGUAUGUGUCUCCUUAGUAAGUGGAGUAAUAUGAUCUAAAAGACAGAAGAUGGUCACACAACUGGAGAUGAAUACUGAUUGGAUUUGUAAGCCUCCACGAUGUUUUUUUGACACUUUUGUACAUAUAAUCAUACGAAAAAAACAUUGUCGCUACUCCUGUUUAAGUGUGGGUAGGGAUGAUGCUCUGUAUAUUUGCAGUCUCCAUUAGUGUCGACCAAUAAUAUACCUAUUAUAAGAAAUAUACGGCCCUGUCAUAUUUGCUAUCACGUCAACACUUGGAUAAAUCAUACUUUCAUUUAAUUUUAUAUUAGCCAACAUCUGCUUUAAUUUUAUUGAAGAACUUCUUUUUAUAUUACAUAUACGGUUUAGCUAGCUAUCUUCACCAUGUGACGAGACCCAAAAUAUUCUUAAAAAGGCUAUUAUCAGGUUAUAUGCAGUUACUAUGAGUCUAUGAGGUGAUAUUUAAUUAGUACGUAGAUGGAUACUCAUGAUUGUUCUAACGUAUUGCCUCUUAAAAGGUCUACCUGGAUACGCUUUUAAAUAAUGACUUGCAUUAUUUUCAAUUUUUCCCCUACUUACAAGAUGAUCCUUGGCCGUGAGAAAUAGUUGCAUCCGCUGUUGAGGCUAAUUUUGUCUAGCUUGCUACUUACUAUUAGACGAGAGAAAUAUGUGAACAUAAAUUAGUUGCUUCUUUCUGGACCUGCUUUAAAAUUAAAUUAUUAACUGAUGAUUAGUUGUCAUGGAGAUGAUUUCAAAAUAUUCUCUAAUUGGACUAUGGCAACCAAGCUGGAGCAAGUUAUCUAAAUACACAUUUAUCUAUGAAAACUUGCAUAUUUGUACCUUUGCAAGAUUUUGGAGGGGGCUGAGAGAUGCUGCAUCCGUUUCUUCGAAAAAAUAAAGGCUGAGAAAGGCCUCCUGUUGUCCUUUGUGUGGUGCUAGGCUGCUGUCUCGGAUGGAAUAACACAACAUCGCUUCUGUUGCAUGCCCAAAGAACAGAAUGAAUGGUAUCAUUUAAAAUUGAUGGAUUGAGUUUGCUGAAGACUUUUUCAUUUGCAUUCCUCCUUUUGAACGAUACUAACAUCACUGUGUAUUGUGUAGUUUCUGUUAAAUGUACUCCUUCAGUAGUUGUGCAUACAGUGUGAGGGCAUUUUCUUCAAUUGCGCAUCUUGCCCCAGUUAUGAUUUAUAAUUAUAAAUGUUUUUAGGACAUAAAAAAUAUGUUUUUUUGUUUAAGAUUGAAAAAACAGGCUUAUGUAUUAUGAAUGCUUAUAAGUUUUAACUUACUUUAAAUAUUGCUCACAAUUUUCAGCUAUGUAUGCAACACAUUUGCAAAUAUGCUAGCCCGUGCAGCGGUUGACGACUUGUAAAUAUAGUUUAGCCACCACUAGCUCACACCAACACAAGAACUGAU